rnacentral:rRNA from 1 species
GCUUCCAUCUAGGAAGAAUCUGGAGACAGGUGACUGCAUGGCUGUCGUCAGCUCGUGUCGUCGAGAGUGUUGGGUUAAGUCCCGUAACGAGCGCAACCCUUGUCCUUAGUUACCAGCACGUUAUGGUGGGCACUCUAAGGAGACUGCCGGUGACAAACCGGAGGAAGGUGGGGAUGACGUCAAGUCAUCAUGGCCCUUACGGCCUGGGCUACACACGUGCUACAAUGGUCGGUACAAAGGGUUGCCAAGCCGCGAGGUGGAGCUAAUCCCAUAAAACCGAUCGUAGUCCGGAUCGCAGUCUGCAACUCGACUGCGUGAAGUCGGAAUCGCUAGUAAUCGUGAAUCAGAAUGUCACGGUGAAUACGUUCCCGGGCCUU